ensembl:snRNA U6 U6 spliceosomal RNA
GUGCUCGCUUCGACAGCACAUAUACUGAAAUCAGAAUGAUACAGAAAAGCUUAGCAUGGCCCCCCGCGCAAGGAUGACACACAAAUUUGUGAAGCGUUCCAUAUUUUU